GUGAGGAAUAUUGGUCAAUGGGCGGGAGCCUGAACCAGCCAAGUCGCGUGAAGGAAGAAGGAUCUAUGGUUCGUAAACUUCUUUUGCAGGGGAAUAAAGUGCAGGACGUGUCCUGUUUUGUAUGUACCCUGAGAAUAAGGAUCGGCUAACUCCGUGCCAGCAGCCGCGGUAAUACGGAGGAUCCGAGCGUUAUCCGGAUUUAUUGGGUUUAAAGGGUGCGUAGGUGGUUUGAUAAGUCAGCGGUGAAAGUUUGCAGCUUAACUGUAAAAAUGCCGUUGAAACUGUCGGACUUGAGUGUAAAUGAGGUAGGCGGAAUGCGUGGUGUAGCGGUGAAAUGCAUAGAUAUCACGCAGAACUCCGAUUGCGAAGGCAGCUUACUAAGCUACAACUGACACUGAAGCACGAAAGCGUGGGUAUCAAACAGGAUUAGAAACCCUUGUAGUCC
rnacentral:rRNA from 1 species